CAAUAGCAUAUAUUAACGUUGUUGCAGUUGAAAAGCUCGUAGUUGAACUUUUGGUAGGAGCGACCUGGCCUUGGGCGCAUGCCCUUGUUUGCCGUGUGUCGUAUCUGGCCAUCCUUUUCCGCUUCGGCGGGAAUCUUUUACUGUGAGUAAACUGGAGUGCUCAAAACAAGACGUUUGUUUGGUACAUUAAAGCAUGGAAUAAUAAGAUAGGACCUGGUUACUAUUUUGUUGGUUUGCAUAGCUAGGUAAUGAUUAACAGGGACAGUUGGGGGUAUUCGUAUUUAAUUGUCAGAGGUGAAAUUCUUGGAUUUAUGAAAGACGAACGACUGCGAAAGCAUUUACCAAGGAUGUUUUCAUUAA
rnacentral:rRNA from 1 species